UUAUAUAAAAUUGAAGUACAAUUGUAAAAUUAAUCAUUAAUGAGAGUAAAAACAAUUAUACUUACAGAUGGUUGUAUGAUUUAAAUAUCUGAGUGUUAAAAGUUAAAUCUCACAGGAAUUUUUUCGAUAUUUUGAUCUAUUUCCAAAAAACGAUUACAGAUUUGUUAUUAUACAGGCUCAAGUCCCCACAUCUUUUGCUAUUUACAGUAAACCACCAGUAGACUCAAGAAUUACCCACCCUGUGUGUUGCCAGUCCAGGGUCAGAUAUCAGUCUUAUCCGUCCAGCCACUGAGGUUUGGCUCCAGGUGCUGCCAACAGCAAGCUCAAUAGCUCGUCAAUUCAGCACCCAAUGCAUGCAGUUCCAAACCCAUUCAUACUCA